GUUUGCUUCAGCAGCACAGACAUAAAAUUGGAACGAUACAGAGAAGAUUAGCACGGCCCCUGUGCAAGGAUGACAUGGAAAUUCGUGAAGCAUUCCAUAUUAAA
rfam:Otolemur garnettii contig020956, whole genome shotgun sequence.